AUUGAACGCUGGCGGAAUGCUUUACACAUGCAAGUCGAACGGUAACAGGUCUUCGGAUGCUGACGAGUGGCGAACGGGUGAGUAAUGCAUCGGAACGUGCCCAGUCGUGGGGGAUAACGCAGCGAAAGCUGUGCUAAUACCGCAUACGAUCUAUGGAUGAAAGCGGGGGAUCGCAAGACCUCGCGCGAUUGGAGCGGCCGAUGUCAGAUUAGCUAGUUGGUGGGGUAAAGGCCCACCAAGGCGACGAUCUGUAGCUGGUCUGAGAGGACGACCAGCCACACUGGGACUGAGACACGGCCCAGACUCCUACGGGGGGCAGCAGUGGGGAAUUUUGGACAAUGGGGGGAAGCCCUGAUCCAGCAAUGCCGCGUGAGUGAAGAAGGCC
rnacentral:rRNA from 1 species